rnacentral:rRNA from 1 species
GAUGAACGCUGGCGGCGUGCCUAAUACAUGCAAGUCGAGCGAAUGGAUUAAGAGCUUGCUCUUAUGAAGUUAGCGGCGGACGGGUGAGUAACACGUGGGUAACCUGCCCAUAAGACUGGGAUAACUCCGGGAAACCGGGGCUAAUACCGGAUAACAUUUUGAACCGCAUGGUUCGAAAUUGAAAGGCGGCUUCGGCUGUCACUUAUGGAUGGACCCGCGUCGCAUUAGCUAGUUGGUGAGGUAACGGCUCGCCAAGGCAACGAUGCGUAGCCGACCUGAGAGGGUGAUCGGCCACACUGGGACUGAGACACGGCCAAGACUCCUACGGGAGGCAGCAGUAGGGAAUCUUCCGCAAUGGACGAAAGUCUGACGGAGCAACGCCGCGUGAGUGAUGAAGGCUUUCGGGUCGUAAAACUCUGUUGUUAGGGAAGAACAAGUGCUAGUUGAAUAAGCUGGCACCUUGACGGUACCUAACCAGAAAGCCACGGCUAACUACGUGCCAGCAGCCGCCGCAG